rnacentral:rRNA from 1 species
UACGAAGGGGGCGAGCGUUGUUCGGAUUUACUGGGCGUAAAGGGCGCGCAGGCGGCUCAUUUUGUCAGGCGUGAAAGCCCCGGGCUUAACCUGGGAACUGCGUUUGAUACGGAUGGGCUAGAGUUCGGGAGAGGAGACUGGAAUUCCCGGUGUAGCAGUGAAAUGCGUAGAUAUCGGGAGGAGUACCGAUGGCGAAGGCAGGUCUCUGGGCUGACACUGACGCUCAUGCACGAAAGCGUGGGGAGCAAACAGG